GAGAGAGAGAGAGAGAGAGAGAGAGAGAGAGAGAGAGAGAGAGAGAGAGGAGAUGCUUGGCCUCCGCAUGCAUGUAUACAGAUCAGAGAGUGUGUUGAUCAUGCUGUGUUGUGUGCGUGUUUGCCUCAACAAAUGUAGUCGUCUCAUAGAACAUUUUCAAGUUAAACUGUUUAGUCAUUUAGUUCCACAGGCAGGCAAGACGGCUUUGCACAUGGUUCUACAUUCGGUGUGUUUUCAGUAUGUGGUUAUUGUAGCAUUUAUGUGGAUCUUUAUAGGUGGUAAUUGUAUAAAUAGAGUGUUGUAUACAAAGGGUAAACUAUAUAGUCAUUCCUCAUAAAGGUGGUUAUGGUAUAUAUUUGGUAUGUAUUCAGUUUAAAGGUGGUGCUUGUAUAGAUAGGACUUAUAUUUAUUCAGUCGGUGGUUAUUGCAUGCAUACGAUAUACAUGUAUUUUUAGCUAUAAAUCUCACCCGUGUGCAUGCUCACACAUUAAAGAUUAUAAGCAUUUACACAUCGUAAAAACAUUGAAAGAUUGUCAAACACAAUUGAAAAACAAAGUUGCCAAUAACAUGGCUGGAGUAACCGAUGUGUUCAGGGAUGUUAAAAGACGAGCAAUUAAGUCAACAGAGUAAUUCAACAGAGCAACUUCCAUGUUCACUCAUUCCAACUGGAAAGUGUCCGCGGUGCACAGGACGCUGGUAGAAAAAGCCGCCUUAGGCACCUACCGACCUGGGCCCAUUCCCGACCUGGUAGGGCUCAUUCCCCAUGGGCAGGGCCCAUUCCCUAUGGGCAGGGCCCAUUGCCACCCUGGCAACACCCAUUACUGAUUACUGAUUCCCUAUGGGCCCUCGCAACCCUGCAGGGCCCUGGAUGAGCGCCUAUAGUUGCACCCCUGUGUAGGUGGUUAUUGUUAGAAUGAUGAGUGGUGACAGUGAAGGUUCAAUAUAUUGAACAUUAAGUAUAAAGGUUGAUUUUAUGCAUAAAAACAGCGCAGGUGGUUAUUGUAUUUAAAUAUGGUAUGUUUGGAUUCGGUAGAGGUGGUUAUUGUAAUAAUGAGGCAGUGAAUAUGAAGGUGGAGGAUAAUCUCUGUCCCCAGCCUUGAGCCACAUCUCAAUCAGAGUUCCCAUCAUGCAGUUCUCCGUCUCUCUGAUCCCUGUUGAACCUCUAGAAAUAGAGAUAGAUAUUUAUGCAAAUCACAUACAAUCCAUACAACAAUCAUGCUUUCCAUCGCUGCACUCGCCUUACACUUGAUG
ensembl:lncRNA